ensembl:lncRNA
CUUUAAGGGCUGGCAGCUGAAAGGGAAACAUCUCUACAUGUAGAUUGCCUCUUUUGGGAAUUUCCAGUGAGCCCCGAUCCUCAGAAAAGGGAGAGACAUUCAGAUAUCAUCAGCCCUUGUUUUCUUAUUGUAAACUGCCAUUUGCAGCGCUUGUGACAAAACAGGCGAAGACUUGCUGUUUUGCAGAGGUUCUCUGAAGAUUAAUAUUAUCCCUCAUUUGCAGAACCAUUAAAAACUUGUAAUCAAGCAAAUGAGAACGUAAAUGGAUGGAAAACUGAAGAUCUCUUAACUGGAAUACAUUGUGGAAUAAGAACAACCACCCACAUACACACUGUACAUUUUGGACAGAUUUUCUACAAUCAUUCCCAAACAUAAUUUUUUAAGUGAUAGGAUCACAUUUCAUCUGAAUAUCAAGAAGUUGAAAUCUACAGCUGAAUGCAUCUCUUGUCAGAGCUCAGCACUGCCCCUCCGCUCCCUUCAUGAGGAGCUAUAGGCUGCCAUGAGGCCUCCCCUGAGCUAGACAAAGAAAGCUUCAACAAUGAAGAAUUCAUUGAUUUCCCAAAGGGCAGGAGGUUGUAUAUUACACCAAACCAAUCCUGCUGUACCCCUCCACUGAAGUACAAGAGAUGAAGAGCUAAAAGUGACUAAAAUAAAAAAAGAGGUUAUCAAAUGACAGAGUGAGACCCUAUAAUGAGGGUCAUGGGUUGCCCCAUUUAAAGACAGAAGGAACACUAUUCCAACGGGUGCUAGAAGAAAUCCAUAGCAAUCCAUUUCUUUUGGAAGAUCAGAGCACUCUUGUACGCUGAAGAAACUAGACAUGUCCUUUUUUCCAUAUCACUAGGAAAGCUCUUGUAACUCUAGCAAACCGCUACUGAGCGCAGAAACACAUUCAAAUGGAAUGUUUCCAUUGCUGUUCCAUAUUUACUGGACAUAAUCAUUUGUUUUAUAUAGAGUACUAUAUUUUGAGCAUAUAGGUAGCAAAUAAUACUGCAAGCUUCUAAAAUCUAGAAAAAACAGAAUGAACACUGCUUAAGUAUUCUCAGAGCAAAGCGUACCUUCUUUCAAAAAUUUCUUUAUCUAAAUUCAUUUAUUCUACAUCAUUUCCCUCUCCAAAGAACACUGGACAGAAACUUUCAGAACUUUUUUUCAACACAAUAUAGCACAAAAAUACUAGGCUGCUCUGAAGAAUUAAAAGGAUUAUUACUAAAAAAAAAAAGUAUACAAUUGGAUAGCUAACCGAACAUUUAUUCAAAAUGAAAGGUUUUAAUCUGUCAGUGAAGUUGAGUUGAACUUAUCUCGAUAACCAGCCAAAACCUACAGUAUUUCAGCAUAACACAAGCAUUGAUGCUACCAGACAGCCACCUUGAAGCCUACAGUAUAAACAGACAUUCACUCUGUAUACUGAAAAUGUGCUGGUUGGUAUUGUAAAAUCAUACAGCUGUUUUGAGCAAGCAUCUUAGAAUUCCUCCUGUGUCAAACCAUCACCAGCUGCAGCCAAUCUGCUCUAUAAUGAGAGCAAAUAUAUGUUUAAUUUGUUGUGUAUAGAAGAAAAUAUGGUGCAGUGGGGGAGGAGGAGCAGAAAUGAUAAAAGCAUGCCAUCCAACUGGAAUUAGUGAUCUAACAGCCUUUGUAUCAUUGUAACACGCUAGCCUAGGUUGUUCAAACUCUAAGACUGCCUCCCUGCUGUUCUAGAUACUUAAGUAGCAGAACACAAUCUUUCUUCCCAUCUUUCGAGGAUAUUUGCUAUAUGAUUUUUCUUCCAAUCCUAAAAGCAAGAUAGAAAGACAUUAUUUAACUGAGUGUAAACAAACAGAAGACCUGUUAUUAUCAAGAUAUUUCUAACUGUACUUCACCGAUUUCAAAGUGUGACAAAGUUAAUUUGUUCUAUUCUUCAAAUGUGGAAAUAUCAAAAGUAACGUUACGAGGAAGUUGAAAAAGUUGCACAUGCACGAGUCCUCACUAGUUAAGUCAGAAUUCUCUCUUUAUCUUCACACAUUUUCUUUGAUUAAAAUAACAACCCUAUGUAACUCCACUGAGGCCUGAGUAGAAAGUGCUCCUCGAUGACUAAUAUUUACAAACAUGUCUUCCCUACAGGCAAACUUAUAGUUAAUUGCUACUAAAUAACUAAGAUACCCCAGUGAUCUGAGUUAGGAAUACUAAACGUAAAACUGCAAGUUCAAAAUUAAGAUAGGUGGUUAUGUGCUACUAAUGUUAAACGUUCCUGAGAAGUGGCAUUCCUUGUCUUUUUCCAUUCCCUUUUAAUUCCUGAUGAACGUACAUCAGUGACUCACAACGUGCCACAAAAGUGUUCUACUGAGAGAGCAUAAUAAAAAGAUUGUACCUAAAAAACUAAAUGUAGUUUUUCAAACUUAUCUUGUCUAGACCUUACAAGCAGAACAAAGAAUAUCGCGACUAAAGCUUCACUCAUUUCCAGCAAGUACAGCUAUGUUUUCCUCAAAGCAGAAAAGUGCAAAAGGCAGAAAAGAAGGCAGUCUAAUUUUUUGUAUGUUGAUGUUAUGUCAAGGCAGAACAAUGAAAAAAUACAGUUUAACACCAUAUCCGUAAUUACAAAAAGCUAUUGGGUUUUGAGAUCUUUUGCAUGAGAACUGGCUUCAGUGUGUCAGAGUGUACAGCUAAACCUCUCAAAUCCUUCCCGUCCUUCAACCUACUGUCAGCUUUCAGAACAUCACAGCUCUGGAAUUCUUUCUAAGAUUUUCCUGCAGGGUUUCAAUAGGGAAUACUAAUCCAGUGGUAACAAGAAUCUGGGUCUCCCGAUCACGUGACCGCUGAAGUACAAGGCAGCUUCAACCAGGGAAACUCCACAGUAGCAGCAAGUCCUGGUGAAGAACACCCCCUCGAACCAACAUUUCAUGAGUAGAUUGACAAUGCUAGUAAAGUACUCUCAGGGUUUAUGCAAUUUUUUUUCUAUAGUGAAAUAAAAAUUCAAAGUUCAAAUUUUUAAAAUAAGAGUAUGAUGAAAAUACAGUAAGACAGUAGUAAAGCUCUGGAAUGAAAAAUUAGAAAGAAUACCUCAGAAUUAUUCCUUUAGAUUUAAGUCACUACUAGGCCCUCACGCUUUCUGAAAUUACUUCACCAAACCUCCUGCCUUGCUCUCUGUGGGAAUACAAGAAAGACUAUUCAGAACAGCACCUGUAGAGCAAGAUAAAUGAAAGCAAUGCUGAGAACCAAGGAAGAAGAGAAAAGCAAGUCAAGUAAGUUGCGCGAUGGCCGUAUGGUAAUUACCCUGACUGAAGGAAGAGUGUGUGGCUAAGAAUGGCUCAUGGCUCUGACUGGAUAAGUGCCUGUGUGCACGGUUAAGGAGUGUUUGCGGAAUGUUUUGUUGACAUGUAAAGGUGGGUGGGAAAGUUAAGAGAAAACUUGUGACUGCAUAAGGGAUGCUAGAACCUGU